AAAUCUUUUUUAAAUGAUCAAAUUCUUAAAUAUCUUUUUUAGUUCUAACAUCUCUUAAUAAAAUAAAACCAUUAAAAAAAAUACUUUCCUCAGCCGCAAUGUUUAACUAGAAAUUCUACAUGAGAACAAUAAUUUACAAAACUACCUGAAAUCAAAUCCAAAGCAACAUAUGUUUGUACUCAAAUGAGAUUAUAGACAUAGCAAUUUAGAAUUGAAAAUUGAAUAGCUCAUAUGGAGCUUUAUUGAAACGCAAGAAAGUAAAGUAAAGUAAAGAAAAACUUUUUAGAUUUUCACCAAGAUCUAAUUGAUUCUUGGAUUGAUUUCUUAUUGAAAGAGAAUUGGUCAAAAACGCAAUUCUCUAGGUUAGUCGCAUUGUUCUCUGUAAAUUAUUGUUAUAUAAUAAAUAGAACCAAGCAGCCAACAUAGUAGUUAACUUUACUAUGCUAGUUCAUUGAAUAUACACUUAAAAAUAAGGAAAAAUGUCAAAACAAAUCACAAAUUUUUAAAUUUGGGACGAUUUAAUCUACAACUUCACGGAAGACAAAUAAAUCGUAAAGUUUUUGUUGACUUUCUAAAUAAAUGACACAGUUUUUGUUGACUUGCCACUUGAGUCAUGUCGUUAAAUAGGUUAACAGAUUUUUUUACGAUGUUAAUGUCUCGUUUAUUUGCUCUGUUAAAACAAAACAACAUCGUUUAUUGUACGUCGUUUUGUCUGUUGAAACAAAUUAAAGCCUAAAUUCCCAAAUCGUGUUACACA
rnacentral:sRNA from 1 species